GGGAAGCGGGUGGGGGGCGGGAGCGGGGAGUAGGGCACAGCGAGGGCGGGCCUUGGAGGAGGGCCUGGAGUCCCGCGGCCGGCCUCGCUGACUCCCUCCAGGCCCCGGAGGCCUUGCUCAGGACCAAGCUGACGCGCUAAACCUGUGCAGCAGCCUCCAAAAGAGUCUUGCCUGCCGGCUCUGGCCGCAGCCCCUCCCAGGCCCCCCUGAAGGACUGGGCCGUCGGAGGCUUUCGAAGCGGCCAGAAGGGGACAGUGCCAUCGCGUGGAAGUGGCGGGAAUCGCUGCUGGUCCUUGAGAAACCCAGUGGGUUUGGGGAAAGGGACUGACUUCUCUUGCGGGUUCAUCCAAGUCACACCCUGAGUGCCCCCCGCAGGCCGGCGCUGGCCUGGGGCUGCAGAGAUGAAAGGCCCUAUCUGUUCAGUCUAGUAGAGGGGAGGGCGACGCCGAAGCGGUGGCUUCGGGCCAAGGAGUAAGCUGGUGGGAGCCCUCAGGAAGCAUCAGGCAGCUGAUAGGAGGCCCUUCCACCACCACCGUCUUUACGAACAUGAAUCAUGUCCAGGCACAGGGGCACAGCCAAACAAGAGGGAAUCCAGGCCCUUGCGGAACUUAUGGCCGUAAACAGACUUUCAAAAAGACCUUCCUUUAGAAUGACCAACUUACCAUUCCCAUCUUGGAGUUUGCAGAGCACUAUUAGUGUCCUGAGAGAGUGCUCAGCAGAAGUGGGAGACCAGAGAUCCGUCUGCCACAGAUCCUCCAACCCUCUGAGGCCCAGAGCUUCGGGCCCGAUGCCAUGCAAAUGGGAGAAGCUCAGACAUCAGGGAAACUCCACUGGUGGCCCAGGCCAUUUGGGGAAGAAUACAGAGUGAGGCCAGGGUACUGCUUCCCACCCUCCCACCGCACAGCUUCCAGGCAGGCACCUCCAUCCAUGACUCCCUUUUGCAGGCCAUCCUUGUUGUCUGAAGUCAAGAGCAACUCCACAAUACCUCGGUCCUCCAAGGCCUGUGGGGGAAAAGAAAACAAGUCAACAUGUCGUUCCUCAGAGUUGGGAAGAGACAGUUAGAAAAGAAAGAAGGAAAGUUUCAAAAUAAAGUAUUUACUUCACCACAGAA